AACUUUCGAUGGUAGGAUAGAGGCCUACCAUGGUAGUAACGGGUAACGGGGUGUUAGGGCACGACACCGGAGAGGGAGCCUGAGAAACGGCUACCACAUCCAAGGAUGGCAGCAGGCGCGCAAAUUACCCAAUCCCAACACGGGGAGGUAGUGACAAUAAAUAACAAUACGGGGUCCUUUCGGGUCUCGUAAUUGGAAUGAGUACAAUUUAAAUCACUUAACGAGUAUCAAUUGGAGGGCAAGUCUGGUGCCAGCAGCCGCGGUAAUUCCAGCUCCAAUAGCGUAUAUUAAAGUUGUUGCAGUCAAAAAGCUCGUAGUUGAACUUCGGAAACGGUAGGUUGGUCGUGCCUCUGGUACGUACUGGCCUUACCGGUUCCUCCUUUCUGACGAACCAUGAUGCCAUUAAUUUGGUGUUGUGGGGAAUCAGGACUGUUACUUUGAAAAAAUUAGAGUGUUUAAAGCAGGCUAAAGCUUGAAUAGAUUAGCAUGGAAUAAUGAAAUAGGACGUUUGAUCUUAUUUUGUUGGUUUCUAAGAUCGACGUAAUGAUUAAUAGGGAUAGUUGGGGCAUUAGUAUUCAAUUGUCAGAGGUGAAAUUCUUGGAUUUAUUGAAGACCAACUACUGCGAAAGCAUUUGCCAAGGAUGUUUUCAUUAAUCAAGAACGAAAGUUAGGGGAUCGAAGGCGAUCAGAUACCGUCGUAGUCUUAACCAUAAACUAUGCCGACUAGGGAUCGGAUGAUGUUAAUUUUUUAAUGACUCAUUCGGCACCUUACGGGAAACCAAAGUGUUUGGGUUC
rnacentral:rRNA from 1 species